rnacentral:rRNA from 1 species
GUGGGGAAUAUUGGGCAAUGGGCGAAAGCCUGACCCAGCAACGCCGCGUGAGGGAAGAAGGCCUUCGGGUUGUAAACCUCUGUCCUUGGUGACGAAAAAAAUGACGGUAGCCAAGGAGGAAGCCCCGGCUAACUACGUGCCAGCAGCCGCGGUAAUACGUAGGGGGCGAGCGUUGUCCGGAAUGACUGGGCGUAAAGGGCGCGUAGACGGCUGUCUAAGUCUGGAGUGAAAGUCCUGCUUUCAAGGUGGGAAUUGCUUUGGAGACUGGAUGGCUUGAGUGCGGAAGAGGUAAGUGGAAUUCCCAGUGUAGCGGUGAAAUGCGUAGAGAUUGGGAGGAACACCAGUGGCGAAGGCGACUUACUGGGCCGUAACUGACGUUGAUGCGCGAAAGCGUGGGGAGCGAACAGGAUUAGAAACCCUAGUAGUCC